CCUACGGGGGGCUGCAGUGAGGAAUAUUGGUCAAUGGACGAGAGUCUGAACCAGCCAAGUAGCGUGAAGGAUGACUGUCCUAUGGGUUGUAAACUUCUUUUAUAAAGGAAUAAAACGAGGCACGUGUGCCUUUUUGCAUGUACUUUAUGAAUAAGCAUCGGCUAACUCCGUGCCAGCAGCCGCGGUAAUACGGAGGAUCCGAGCGUUAUCCGGAUUUAUUGGGUUUAAAGGGAGCGUAGGUGGGUUGUUAAGUCAGUGGUGAAAGUUUGCGGCUCAACCGUAAAAUUGCAAUUGAUACUGGCAGUCUUGAGUACAGGUGAGGUAGGCGGAAUGCGUGGUGUAGCGGUGAAAUGCAUAGAUAUCACGAAGAACCCCGAUUGCGAAGGCAGCUUGCUAGACUGUGACUGACACUGAGGCACGAAAGUGUGGGUAUCAAACAGGAUUAGAUACCCCAGUAGUC
rnacentral:rRNA from 1 species